rnacentral:snoRNA from 2 species
AACCCCUCUGGGUCACACCUGGAGAUUUUCCAGUACUCUACCAGUCUUGGCUAAGGGAGGAAGAGGCAAGCAGAGGCCUUUCCAUUCCAUUCCUAGCUUGGGCAGUGGCUAGUGAGUGAAAGGGAAUCUGCUACAAGU